UAUGACUCAUAGGCUAUGCGCGGCUCGGCUUCACAUAGAACAGAGCAGUUGAUGACUCCAGAUCCUGCGCCGCCAGGAUUCAGCCCCGCCGCCGAUGCCGGGAAUCGCCUCGCCGCCGCCACCGAGAUCGCCUCCCGCCGCCGGGAUUCGCUUCAGCGCCGCCGUCGGGAGUGUCCUCCGCGCCGCUGCUAGGAGUCGCCCAAACUUGCGUUAGCAAGAGGUAGCAUUAUCUAUUUGCUACAAUCUGAAGAAGUGGAGGGCCAGGAAACCAAAGCUUCUUAAUUGUUUGUACAAGACUAGAGUCAACUGGAUUGCUGCUGGCAGAGUGUUAUAGUAGAACAUUAAAAAGGCAUAAGCUUAUCCCCCUGCAUGCUUGAAGAGCUUCAGUCAAGAUGGCACUGCAUAGCAUUGGUGCUUCGAACAAGGAUGAUGCCUUGUACAGGUGCAAGAUGCCUAGAAUCCUAACCGAAGUAAAAGGAUGUGGUAGGCAUCAACAUGAGGGAGCGAAGAGCAAACUGGAGGCCACCUACUCGCGCAAUAGCUACAACACUCCCCCGUCGUUCUAUCCAAAGGCUCUCAAGUAUAAUGUUGGAAUAACACAUCUGCUGAAAAAACCGUUGAAGAGAACGCAAUGGUUGCUGAUGGAGCAGACUUAGACUAGGAAUGUCAAAUCUUGAAAAUGUGAUGUUGAAUUCAUGACAACUUUGUACCAGCCUAUAGCUGAUUGUUCUCCCUGACAAUACAUUUUGGAUAAUAUAAAAUCUUCAUUUUGA